CUUCAAUAAAUAACCGAAGAAGGAAAAGAGAAUGUUGAAACAAUGGGCAGAAGGAAAAACUUCAGUUCCCGUGAAACAAUGGUCCCCCAACAGAAAUGAUCUUCUGACAGUCCUCUUGCAAGGACAAGAAAGAUCCACCAUAAUCAGAGUAAGCCUUUUUAUCCCGAAAGCUAUCAAGAAAACAG
rnacentral:lncRNA from 11 species